UACGGAGGGUGCAAGCGUUAUCCGGAUUCACUGGGUUUACAGGGUGCGUAGGUGGGUUGGUAAGUCAGUGGUGAAAUCUCCGAGCUUAACUUGGAAACUGCCAUUGAUACUAUCAGUCUUGAAUAUUGUGGAGGUCAGCGGAAUAUGUCAUGUAGCGGUGAAAUGCUUAGAUAUGACAUAGAACACCAAUUGCGAAGGCAGCUGGCUACACAUAUAUUGACACUGAGGCACGAAAGCGUGGGGAUCAAACAGG
rnacentral:rRNA from 1 species